GCGGGAACCCAUCGCUUCAAAACUACCACAUUUAAGAGGAAUUGUUCUAUGCACGCAGGAGAAGAAAAAUCAGGUUCAGCCUGAAUAAGUACAGCAUUGCAGAGCAAGAGUUCCUGAAAACAAAACAGGAAAAGAAGAUUCUGUAAUACGGUUAGCAGUGGCAAGUUGGACCCAACUGUCAGUAGUUUCAAUUACAGUAUUCAAGUUACCAACUAGGACAGAAUAUGUUGCAUGGUGAAACUCAGGACCUUGUUUGUAUAAUACUGCAAUGGUGAAGGACAAAAAUGUAAACCAAUGUGAAUUUUGGGAGAGGAAAUUAGUGUCAAAUACUGAAAUCAGUGCCAAAUUUGAUCCCUGAUCGGACUACCCAACCAGCCAUCCGAAAAUGUUGAUAAGAGAGAUACCUUCAAUAAUAAUAAAAACUCAUUAAUAACACCUGAAAUUAAUAAUCAAACUAGAGAAUUUAUGUUGAAUGUUUCUAGGCUACAGUUUCAUUUAUAAAAUUAAAAAAAGAAACAGAAAUAUUUUAAAGAACAAUUGAGAAUUUAAUGGAGACUUAAUCUUAUACCAUACCGAGGCAGAAAGUUACUGGUGGAUUUUUUAAACAACUUCCAAAUUUCAUCAAGAUUCAAGAAUAUGCCUUGAAAUUUUACUUGCAAACAUCCCACGACAUAACUUAAAAAAAAGGCCUCCUCAAGCAUGAGGUUAGAAGUUUCAUCAACAUCACUAUAUUAAUAAAUCAAUAUUAAAUGACAACAAAAUAAAACUAUCCAUAAAAUUUAAGAUGAUUGUACCUAUAAAUACAUGAUUUGAAAUUUGGUA